AUACGUAGGUGACAAGCGUUAUCCGGAUUUACUGCGCGUAAAGGGCGUGUAGGCGGUCUUGCAAGUCAGAAGUGAAAUUCCUGAGCUCAACUCGGGCGCUGCUUCUGAAACUGCAGGACUUGAGUGCUGGAGGGGAUAGCGGAAUUCCUAGUGGAGCGGUAAAAUGCUCAGAUAUUAGGAAGAACACCGGUGGCGAAGGCGGCUAUCUGGACAGUAAGAGACGCUGAGGCGCGAAAGCGUGGGGAGCAAACAGGAUUAGAACCCCGGGUAGUCCUAGCCGUAAACGAUGGACACUAGGUGUGGGGGGAUGUGCCCUCCGUGCCGCAGCUAACGCAUUAAGUGUCCCGCCUGGGGAGUACGGCCGCAAGGCUAAAACUCAAAUGAAUUGACGGGG
rnacentral:rRNA from 1 species